ACAUAUGCAUACACAUUUCGCAGGACUCUAAUCCUGGGUCCUGCGACCGUGUAUGCUGCUGCUUGUAUUGGUAUUGCUAUUAGUUUUUGGGCCCUCUCAAAUGACACUCAUGCGACGCCUGCCAUUUCCAGUGCCCUCGGCUCAGUUGGCGUUGGCCAGUGUCUCAUGGCACACCUCCAUGUAGUCCGGAUCGUGCAUGAUGCCCUUUAUCAUGUCCUUCAGCAUUGUGUAGCGUGGAAAUAUCGGAUACAUCUUUGAGCUGCCGUACUCUUCCUGCGUGUUCAAAUACGGAUUAGAAUAAAAUGUGAACUUUCCACCGGAUGCCACUCACCUUCAACACACGGAUGAGGUGUCGCAGUCCCAGAUACUUUUUCAGCAAGCGAUACAAGUCGUUUAUUAGCUGCGUAUUCUCGUGUUCGAUUUGCGCAGUUGUCAUAUCUACGAGUACAUUUAUCUUAAAUAGUUUUCUCUUUUCAUUGGACAGGAGGCUGACUUCACUUACGUUCCAAUCGCUCCAUCCGCUCCCGCCGCUCUGCCGCCUCCUCUGCCAGGCGGGCGGAGGUCUUGACUCCCUCGCCGGACUUCUGGGUCUUCUCCAUGAUCGAGCAGGCCCGCAUCACGUAAGAGGGCACCGUCUCCUGCUUCUCCUGCCGCGGGAUGUCCACCAGUGUCCAGUACUGGGUCUCCAGGCGGAUGACUUCCUGUGCUUGAGCAUGGGAUAGCGCUGAAAGAUGUUGCGCUGGCUCUUCGAGUCGCCGUACUUGUUCAUGAGGUUGAUCAGGGCUUUCUUGGCGGUCUCGUAGGACUCCUCCAGGCGAAGGCGCAAGGAUCGCAGGCGCUCGUUCGUCUCGAUCACCUCGUCCCGCGUCAUUCCACUGGGCGCCCCCUCGUCCUUCACAUCCUGCACGAUUCGGCGCACACUCUGCGUGAACUUGCCCACGAAGUUUGUGGUUGCUGAAUGGCGAAAAAAAUUGUAUAAAUUAAGUGAUAAAACAAAAUACGUAAAUAUAUAGUAGUUAAUUGUACGGAAAUUGCACGAAACACUGUCAUUCAUAAUCGGAAUUUCAGUAGACACGCGCAUUAACCCUUAAUUAAUCUGCGAUUCAUGCGGAAAUUGUUCGGCUAUGGAAAAGUCAAACUAUUAUGCCAUGAUG
ensembl:ncRNA asRNA:CR44106 antisense RNA:CR44106